ensembl:lncRNA
UUUCAUUCGUUUUCGGGACAAGUGCAGAGUAGCUCGUGCCUUUGAAGCCUAUGGCCUUUAGAGUGGCUUUAGUGUCAAAACUUAAAACAGGCCGAGGAGGGAGCCUGCCGGAAAGGUCAUCGGCAAAGAACCCCAGUGCAGUGGAACUCAUCAGCCAAAACUGUAAGUAAGGGGGGAAAAAAACCCACCUCUUCUAAAGACUUUUAGCGAGCAUUCAACUUGCUGUUACUAGAUAAGGACUACGGCAUUUUCUGUGCUGGGAACCCGAAGUUGUCACAUAGGCCCAUUAUGUCUUAAAUGCUGCCUGUGGCCCUGGAACAAUGAGCUUGAGGCCCAGGAGCUAAAGCAGUAGGCAGCCCGCCAAGUUCAACACUGGCCAGUCUGAAGAGCAGGGCCUGCUGGGGGCUGCUUCCGGCUCUGCCUGAGAUGCAGAGCAAAGAUUUCCAUGCUGGCUUUCCGCAUGCACGUUCGACGAUGGAGGCCCAGACCAGCGAUGACCUGUAGUGACAUUUUCCAUGACACCCUUUGUUUUGUUUUCUGCUUGAUAGUGUAACUUCGGGGGUUUCUUUUUUUGUAACAAUCGCUUGGCAAGGAUUACCGUUAGAUGUCACGGGGGAGUCACUAUACACAGCUGGAUUCUCCCCCUGGGCGGACAUCUCUUUUUCAAAUGGAGCUUCGUGGGAAUUAACUGGAUUAUUUGUGGAGGGACCCUUGGCUGCACAGCUGCUGGUCAGGUCAGUGCCUCGCUUGUGGAAAUAAAAGAAGCUGCAGUGGAACCUUAUGAUGAGGUGCACAGGAAUUUAAAAAAUUGAAUUUAUGAAUGGGAAACGCAGCGUGCCGGUGAGAUGGCUCAGUGGUUAAGAACACUUCACUGCUCUGUCUGAGCUCUUCCCCGAUCCACUGUCAUGGUUAGUGACAGCUCCAAGAGCCCUGGCACCCUAUUCUUGACGCUGGACACCUGUACUCAUCUAAACAUACAGACAGAUACCCAUAUACAGGCAUUAAAAAAACUUUUAAAAAAAUGGACCACAUAUCACUUCAUCUCCAUCAGAACAACAUUCUUAUAAAGUGCUGUAUUUUUCGCCCACAUUUGCCCUUGUAGCAAACAGGCUCCUCUUCCAAGAGAGAAGCUAACUAUCUCCUUUGGGGCACUUGGUGGCCAACGACCUGCCCUGAGCAUCCAGUUUGUCAUCUAGUACUGCACUCUCACUGCUGGGUUUGCAGGUCAGAGGAAUACAGCCGUAGGUACUCACUCUAUGGCAAUCUCCAAUACAAUGCUUUCUGGGGGAGUUUGAAGAUCAGCUUAAACGUUGACACUCGAAGUGUGGCAAUGUUCCAGGCCUGUCCAGAGUGCCACUACCAAGAAUUUAUUUCCACUGGGACACGUUUGGUAUACUUUCAAGAAGUUCUUUGCUAUGAUGGCUCGGAGUUUUGGGGAAGAGACAACUGCUGACUUUUGCCAGGAAUAAAGUCUCCUUCUGAUCCUCGAGCUUGGAAAAAGAGUGUCAUUGACCCUCCUUAAACAUGACUACUACUUGUGUUUAUAGAUAAUUCAUUGACUGGUUUUUUUGUCUUUUUGUUUGUGUGUGUGUGUGUGUGUGUGUGUGUGUGUGUGUGUGUGUGUGUUCCAUCAUCUAAACUACUGCACGGGUGCACUGGCAGAGCUCAGAAGACGUUUCCACAAGACUAUGGAAAGGACUCACGUAGUCCAGUAGAGGAAGGAAUAUUAUACAGCUCUAAAGAGAAAUGAAGAAUGGCUUCUUUCUAUGCCACUGCGGAAGAUUACAAGAUUAUGUUGCUAAUAUUUUAGGGCAUGAUUGUAAAAAUUCAAAAUGAAACAAGAGAACUAAACUAAUUUAAUUUUGCCCUAGGUGGAUGGCAAAUCCACUCGGGGAAGAAAUUUUCAAGUGACCUUAGAGCAUGAGAAUCGACAUGUGUGGUGGUAGUUGCCAGUAAUUCCAGGAUCUGGGAGAUGGAAACAGGAAGAUCAGAAGUCCAGGCUUAGUGUGGACCUCUUGAGACCCUUACUCAAAAACAACAAACAACAACAGCAUAAAUACGCAAAACAGGAAAAACUAGUGAAAUAAAUAAGGAGCAUGAGAAUUGACUAAAGAGCCUACAUGUGGGUUAGUUAUCUUCUUAGAACAAAAGAGAAAAAAAAAAAAAAGACCCACGAGUAACAAAAGCUUCAGCUCUUUCCAGUAAUUGUAUUCUUGAAAGUGUUGCUUUUGUCCUUGAGGCCGCUGCAAGUGCUUCCUGGGAUAAAAUAAGUAAGGAAUUAGGCAUCCUCUGGGCAGGGAUUCCGAGAAGGGUUGGAGGUGGACCUGCGGUCCAGACAGAACAAAGUGACUGCAGCACACAGGUCAUGUCUACUAGCCCGUUCACUCCUAUCUUGUCACCACCCUUGCAGAUGCUAACACCUAAAUGCUAUGUGCUAAUAUUAAGGAAGUGGAAAAUCUACUCCCCUGAAGAUCUUGUAUUAUUGGCAAAAGCAUACAUGAUGGUCUGAAUAUGCUUGGCCCGGGUGUGUGUGUGUGUGUGUGUGAAUAUCAGAAGGUGUGGCCUUGUUGAAGUAGGUGUGGCCUUGUUAGAGGAACCGUGUCAUUGUGGG